rnacentral:rRNA from 1 species
AUUGAACGCUGGCGGCAUGCCUUACACAUGCAAGUCGAACGGCAGCACGGGUGCUUGCACCUGGUGGCGAGUGGCGAACGGGUGAGUAAUACACCGGAACAUGUCCUGUAGUGGGGGAUAGCCCGGCGAAAGCCGGAUUAAUACCGCAUACGAUCUACGGAUGAAAGCGGGGGACCUUCGGGCCUCGCGCUAUAGGGUUGGCCGAUGGCUGAUUAGCUAGUUGGUGGGGUAAAGGCCUACCAAGGCGACGAUCAGUAGCUGGUCUGAGAGGACGACCAGCCACACUGGGACUGAGACACGGCCCAGACUCCUACGGGAGGCAGCAGUGGGGAAUUUUGGACAAUGGGCGAAAGCCUGAUCCAGCAAUGCCGCGUGUGUGAAGAAGGCCUUCGGGUUGUAAAGCACUUUUGUCCGGAAAGAAAUCCUUGGCCCUAAUACGGUCGGGGGAUGACGGUACCGGAAGAAUAAGCACCGGCUAACUACGUG